AGGAGGACAGAUGGAGGUUAAUAAACACUUGCAAGGAACCCCGAAGUAACGUGGACAGCAUGUUAGGGUGAGACCUUAACCAGUGACACUCAGAAAGUUAAACAAAUAUACAAACAGUUCACCCACACACCGAUAACCAUGAGAUAUAGAAGAACCACAUCAAACAACCCAAAAGGUAACAAUAUCCAAUCCUUAAGUCAAACUGUGAUUACAAUGAACUUGAGACUGGAACAAAAAAUAAUGUCUGCAAUGAAAUUAAAUGUAGUAAAAUAAUUGCAAGAUCUACGAUUAAGGAUUACGUCUGAAUGCAAAGCAGCACAUCUCUAUCUUCAUUCUUUGUGCUGUCAUGUGGUGUUGAGAAGUGGUGUGGUAUGGAGGUAAGGUGAGGUGUGGUAUGAGGGUAUGGUGUGUUAGGGUGUGCAGAUGUGGUGUGGUAUGGAGAUAUGGUGUGGUGUGGUAUGGGGAUAUGGUGUGUUAGGGUGUGCAGAUGUGGUGUGGUGUGUUGAUAUGGUGCUGGGUGGUAUGGAGAAGUGAUGUGGUUUGCAGAUAUGGUGUGCUGUGGAGAUCUGGUGUGAUUUGGUGUGGUGUGGUAUGAGGAUAUGGUGUGUUAGGGUGUGCAGAAGUGGUGUGGUGUGGUGUGGUGUGUUGAUAUGGUGCUGGGUGGUAUGGAGAAGUGAUGUGGUUUGCAGAUAUGGUGUUGUGUGGUGUGGAAAGAUAGAAUGUGAUAUGAGUAACAGAACAUGGUGUGGCAAGGUGUGGAAAGAUGUGGUGUGCAGACAUAUGGUGUGGCAAGGUGUGGAAAGAUGUGGCGUGCAAUGUAUCGGGAAAUAACAAUGCAUAUGAAGCAAAAACGCACCGAGUUCAAAACGUGAUUGCAUUAAUUGUGUCCAUGCAGACAUUCU